GCUACUCUCCGCUCUCUGCUGCCGUCUGCCUCCAGCCGCUGCGCUCUUAAAGCUUCCGUGCGCAAAAAUAACCCCACUGAGCAUGUGCGCUCAGACCGGCCGGCCUGCUGACAAACACUCAGGAGGUCAAACAACCCCCCAUGACAACAGCAGUCCUUGAUGCCACCCUCAGCAGGACAAUGCACCCCGACACGCCACAAAAACUGCUCAGGAGUGGCCCAGGGAGCACGACAGAGCUAAGAUGUUCACCUGGGUUCAUCACUCCCCAGAUGCAAAUCUUACCGAGCAUCUGUGGGAUGUACCAGGACAAGUCUGACCUAGGUAGGUCCCACCCUGUAAAUCACAGGACCCACAGAAUUCACUUUCACUAUCCCGCUGCCAUAGGACAUUCCCAGAGGUCCCACUGGGUCAGAGGAGUUUUAGCAGCAUUAAAGGGACCAACACAGUAUUAGACAGGUGGUCAUAAUGUUAUACCAGAUCGGUGUACACUACUUCAAAAGUUUGGGGUCAUCAAGACAAUUUUAUGUUUUCCAUGAAAACUCACUUUUAUUCAUGUACUAACAUAAUUGCACAAGGGUUUUCUAGUCAUUAAUUAGCCUUUCAACACCAUUAGCUAACACAAUGUAGCAUUAGAACACAGGAGUGAUGGUUGCUGGAAAUGUUCCUCUGUACCCCUAUGGAGAUAUUCCAUUAAAAAAACAGCUAUAUCCAGCUAGAAUAGUCAUUUACCACAUUAAUUCAAUUCAAGUUUAUUUAUAUAGCGGCAAUUACAGGUCAAAUUGUCUCAAGAUGCUUCACAGAACCCAUAUGACCUGAACCCCCAGAGCAAGCCCUAAGGCGACAGUGGCAAGAAAAAAAAACUGCCUGUUAAUGGGAAGAAACCUUGAGCAGAACCCGGCUCUGUAUAUGGAGGGACCCAUCUGCCUGCUGGCUGGUGGGUUGAGAAGGACAGAAGAGGUAUAGAGGUAGAGGUAGUGGGGGAGAGGUGAGGGGAGAUGGAGGGGGAGGGACGGGAGAAGAGGAGGAUGGGCAGGAAGGAGCAUACAACACACAAUUGUGCAUUAGCAACGUGUAGACUGGAUUUCUAAUUCAUUUAAUGUUGUCUUCAUUGAAAAAAAACUGAUUUUCUUUGAAAAAUAAGGACAUUUCAAAGUGACCACACACUUUUCAACAGUACUGUAUGUCUAGCUGUCUGCCCUUUGCACUUCUUUGUUCCCUCUUCUUUUCUUCCAUCUCCUCUUCCUAUCUUCUACUUUAGGGAGCUGCUGCCGAUCCCUGACUAAACCUUCCCCACAUCACAGCUGCCAAAUCUCAGUCUCACCAACACAACACUCAUUUCAAUUCAAGAAACGAUCAUGUUUCAUCUGAUGGCGGGUUCCUAGCUCGAGAACUCGCAACACAAAAUGACAUUGCCCGCACCAGCCUUCGACAGCGUGGCUUAUCACAGCAGUGUGUGUGCUCUCCAGGUGUGUUUGAUAUCUUUAAUGAACUAGUGCAUUCCAUUUCAUUGAGCUGUGGUUGCAGGUGUUGGUACCAUUUCCUCAUGGUCACACCGAGCAGCUUUUCCUGUACUGACAUGUCUGCUCACUACAUAACCAAUCAUUUUAUCAUCAUCAUCAUCGUAAGUGUAAAGCGUCAGGUGUUUUAGGUAUUUCAGAGCAGUGAGGAGCUCUGAGUGGAGCUGGUUGGACAGCUAUCAGGGUUCUGUCCAAUCAGGUUUUCUCACUCUUCCCUCCCUAACAGAGAGACGUUAAAGCUUCCUUUGUGAUUGUUAGUCAGCUUUCUUGAGCUGUCAUGCCAUGACGAAUCUUUUCUGUCUAAAUGCAUUAAAAAGAAUAUGACAUUUAAUUGACUGAUUAACCAAAUACCGCUGAAAGAGAAUGUGUCGCUUCCAGCCGUUUAGUCAUUUUUCCUCUGAGUUUAUUAAAUGCAUGCAGCAUCAGGAUCCUUAUGAGCGUCUCUAGAGUGAUUUAUCACAGUGGAUCAGCUAUUUGUUUCAUCAGAUCAUCAUGUCAGGUUUACUCUUUUGAACUUUUCUCUUGAAGUCUUGCAGUAUUUUCUGUAGUGAUGAUUGUAUCUGUGGAUGUUUUCCCCUAAAUGUGUGAGGGAUUUGACCUUUCAUGUACAAUGAAAAACCACCACAGGUCACCUUGUAACAAUGACAGCUGCUGUAAUUUGUGUCAUUUUGUGUAAUUAAGCUUGGUGCUCAGUGCCGUAAUGUAAUGAAGAGAGAUCAACCGACCAGCUGAAUUAUGUGAUUCACCGUUUUCUUCUUUUUACCAGCUAAAAAGGUUAUGUUAACAUGUUGUAGGACACACCUUCUAAGCAUAAUAAUCAUUUAGGAUAUUAUUUUGACUAUAUAUAUAUAUUCCCACAAUUGCAAGAAACAUCAAUGGGAAAAAAAACCCCCAAAAAAGUAGAUUUAAAUUUCAUUUCUACUGUUUUGAGAUUCAGUUUGGUCGUCAGAGAGGUGGGACAAGAAAAACGAAAAAUGGCAUUUACAGGGGAACUCCAGACUUAUUUGGUAUUUUAAAAAUAUUUUCAAACAUUUUUUUCCUUUUUUUUAAGAUUUGGUCUCAGGACUACUACAUUUACACAACAACUGCAUGUUUUAGGAUUUUGUACAUGGAUUUUUAGAAAUUAGAGGUGUGGGACUUAAAAUGUCGUCCAGUUCUGGAAUGACCCAUAUACUGUCACAAUGCUGUGUUUUUAUACUAUUUUCAGCCAAGUGGUUGGUUAUACAUGAAUGCCCUAGCAUUGAAAAAUAUUUUCAAAAAUCCUUUGAAAAUGUAAUAACUGGAGCCGAUUAUGUAAUUUAACGUAAGUAGGACUGCAUUUCUUGUAAAUAAGAUUUUUUUUUUUCAAUUUUUCCUGCAGUUUGCUCAUUAAAAAUAGGUAAAGUGGACGGCAUAGUCAUCACAUUAAUUCAUCAAGAUAGAUUUAAGGUAGCUCUCACUCUCCUUAAUUCUAGUUGUAAGAGCCAGUUUGAGAAUUAUUUGUUGUACAAAAUCUUUAGAAUAUUUUUUAUUUACUCAUAUAUAAAUUCAUACUUCCAUGUCAGCAUCUCUGGUGGAUGUUGCAUUGUCAAAUGAACUUACUGCACUUUUUCCUCAGAAAACAUUUUUUAAGACUUUUCAAACAUGGAAAAAAAACAAUUCAGUCCUCACUUAAAAUGGUAUUUAAAUAACUGGACUGACAUUAUAAUAACACUUGACUCCAAAAAACUGAAGACGAUUAUGUAUAUAGUGAACUAAGGGGAAAACAACAUAAAAUUGACAUCAUUUCUUCCAGUAAAUGUCCUUAACUUUACACAUUACUGAGAAGAAUCCAGGCUUCAUCCACUGGCUGUUCUCAACUAAUAACUGUUUUAUGUGUGAACUUAGACACUGUUGGUCCAGCAGCCUUGUAGAGCUUCACACUACAAAUAGAAAAGUCAUCUUCUGUCUCAUUCUAGGCUCUCUGCAAGUACUUCUCUUAUAAGAAGAAAUGCAGUCCCAUUUAUGUGUUAUUACACUGUUGGCUGCAGUUAUUACAUUUUCAAUUAUUUAUUGCUAGACCAUGAAUGUAAUAAUCAAAAUAUUACUUUUGGAUCAAAAACUAAUGCAUUCUUGACUUCAUUGAAUUUAAAAUGGCUAAAAUUAUUACAUUGUUGGCUGCUGUUGCAUGAUUAUACAUGUAGCUAUGUUUAGUUCCUUUAUCUACCGUCUGCAGACCUGCAACUUGAAUUUCCAUUUCUUGCAUAAGUUUUGUCAAUAUUUUAUUGUCUAUGUUUUUGGAUUCUAUCCUUAUGUGAACUCAUGCAACAGAACAAUAAAGAUAAAGAUGUUUAUUCCUUCUGCUCUAAUAAAUACUGAACAAACUUUUUA